AUUGAACGCUGGCGGCAUGCCUAACACAUGCAAGUCGAGCGAGCGGCGGACGGGUGAGUAAUGUGUGGGAAACUGCCUGCUGGAGGGGGAUAACCACUGGAAACGGUAGCUAAUACCGCAUACCAUCAGAUGUGCCCAGGUGGGUUUAGCUAGUGGGUGGGGUAACGGCUCACCUAGGCGACGAUCCCUAGCUGGUCUGAGAGGAUGACCAGCAACACUGGAACGGAGACACGGCCCGAACUCCUACGGGAGGCAGCAGUGGGGAAUAUUGGACAAUGGGCGAAAGCCUGAUGAAGCCAUGCCGCGUGUGUGAAGAAGGCCUUCGGUUUGUAAAGCACUUUCAGCGGGGAGGCGUUACCCGCAGAGGAAGCACCGGCUAACUACGUGCCAGCAGCCGCGGUAAUAC
rnacentral:rRNA from 1 species